rnacentral:lncRNA from 1 species
AUGUUGCCAUCAUCACUCAUCACAGUUCUUGCCCCACACUGGACUGGUCGUUUUAGGAGAUACAAGCGAGAUGUUGAGAAGCAGGAUGCUGGACAGCAAGUCAACGAGAGGGACAAAGCAGCCAGACUAGAAGCUAAUAGUAAUGAAAAUGAAAACAAGCAACACCAGAUCACAGUCAACAGAGACAUGCGGUCACAGAAGUUUAUGGCAAACCCAACUGAGCAAGUGCAAGACAGGGGUUUGCUUUAUGAAUCUGGCCCUCAGGAGAAACCCACUAGUAGUGGACAGAGUAAAGCGGGUUGGCUGCAUGAGAGCAGUCUUUCCAGUUGGACACCCCACACUGCAGCUACCAGCUUGCUGUCCACAUCAAUCUCUUCAGACACCAGCAGAGUUAAGCUGGACAACAGAAAGAAGGUCACAGCUGAUACCAUCACCUCACCAGUACAUUCAAGCACAGCCCAUUCUGGUUCACUGGAUUUCUGUUACUACAGGAGAACAUCAUUGGUGAAGCCCCAGAACCCUCCGCAGGCCCAAGUUAGUAAAAGCUCUUCCCCAAGUAGUCGUCUUCUGUCCCUGCGGAGGGUGAGUGUUCUUCAUGGGAACAAUGAAACACACUCACCCUGUGCCUCAACCCUUUUCUCUGAGACCCAAUCCAGCAGCACUGCACUAACGCCCACAGAACCAAAAGGCCCCAAAAGCUCCAGCUGCAUUAGAGAUUGUCGGCUGCAGUGUGGCCAUGUAGAAGAAUCUCCUCUGUUGUACUGUCUAAAUAACCAGUCUCUCCCACUUGCAACCAGCCUAAACCCUUCAUUCUUGAAGGAAAACGCCCAGCUGGAUGACACAGCCCUCACCAGCAAGGAAAGUAGUCUUCUAGGGCACACUGGUUUCUGUCCUGUUCUCUCUGGUUUGAAUCACAAUGUCAACCAUGCCAUCACAAACAACUCAAACAAUGACAUUAGUUCUGUCAGCACAAGACAUAACUACGGUGGUUUUAGUAGAUCUACUAACCAUGCACUACAAGUGCCCGAUACCUAUUCAAGCUACAUUUUAACAAGCUCCCCUACUAAUAAUAGUUUCGGCUCUCAGAAUUCCCUUAACACACCAACCAGCCUAAGCAAUUUUAGCAGGAUCACCCCAAUCUAUCAGCCAUUUGCACCUGUGCAAACAUGGGGUCGGAAGGAAAGGGCACUUAGCACUUCUGUUUCUCCACUCAGAAGGGAGAGUUACUCUUUUGAAGGGACUGACCCAACCCAUGCAUGCAAUGAGUCUUUGGUUAAUUGCUCCUCAACUGCACAAAAUAACAAAUUUCAAAAAUCUUCUAGUCCAACUUCACUGCCUAGUUUCACAUCACAAAGACAGUCUCCCCGCACUGUUUACAGUUCAAUAAUUGAUAGUUCAAUGGUAAUGAGUAGUCCAGUGUUGUCUACAAAGUCACCCCAGAGAAUGGACAAUGCAAGAAUUCAGAAUGAAAAUCCACUUCUUAAAUCUUCAGGGAAAGCAUCUCACAGUCUGGAAAGUCCAGAUACAAACUUUCAAAGGUCGGAGAGAUCACCUAGUUCCACUGCACCAAUGACAUCAGCCAAGAACAUUCAGAUUACAACCCCCAAUACUGGAGAUGUUUCAUCUACUGACAGUAUGAGUCUGCUGAAUUGUCCUGUGGUCCAAACGAGACCUGUUCACAGUGUUGAUGCUCCCAUGACCUACUCAUCCUUGAGAUGUUCUAGUCCAUCAAAGGCAAUCCCUCCAAUCCAGAUGUCAAUCAGUCCUGACUUGCAGGAUGAAAAAAUUCAUGUAUCUUCAUCACUGCCUUCUCCAGAAGGACGACUGAGGUCCUGGAGGCAGCACUACUUCCAUGGAAAAAAACAGGUCUGGUUCCCAGCUGACUUUAAUGAGGAGCAAGACACAAAGAUAUUCCACAUGUUGUCAUCAACACCUUCUGAUUCCACGAGAACACCCUACAGCAGCAAACCACUGACUCCAACUCAAUUUCUUGAACAACAGCACAGUCAAAAGUCGCUUGACAAUGAGUCAAAACCUGUUCCUAUGGACAGUACAGGGCACAGCAGCACCAGAUUCCAACCAAAUUCAUUCCUGACCAACUCAAGGAAUAAGUCAUUCCCAGAAGGGAUGGAGAAGCUCAGUGCACAAGAGAACCCAUUUACUGUGCCCCAAAGGCAGAUGGCCACAGAGGGCAAGAAAUAUGUACCAUGGAAAACUGCUAAAAGUAAUUCCUUGAUUGCUGAUUUGUCCAGGUGGCCUUCCCAGCAGCAGACGAGCGAUUUAAAUUCUCCUGAGACCAAAGGGACUAAAGGCCUCUCAAGCCGUAACUGUGAAAGCACAACAACUGUACUAAGUGCUGACACCAUAAACAACUUUAUCCAGUUAUGUGACAGCAACCCAGUUCUUCAAGCCACGGAAAGCAGUACAGUGAUUAGCUUAGAUGUACUCAGGUCUCCAUCUGCUACAUCCCAUGUCAAAAGUCAAGAAAUAACAGAAAAGGUAUCAGCAAAAGACUACUGCCCAGUGGUAGAAAGUCCGGUGGUGUGUUUACAGGACCACAAUUUAAAAAGGAGCCUCUCAACAAUUAAGAGUACUAAGGACCAGAGUAGUUUAUUCUCUUCUGUUGUGACUACAAAACCACCUACUCUCUAUUCCAAAACUACAACAGCAGGCUCUGCAGGAAACAAAAGCGGAAGUAAGGUUGAUGUGUUUCUAAACCGCAUCAGAAUGACUUUCAGUUCCAAAUGGAGUGAAGAAGAUGUUUUGAGAUCAAGGAAGAAGAGCAAAAGAGAGGCACCAUUCUCCCAUAGCAGAAGAAGUGGUGUUGCUAUGAGCGAUGACACACCAUAUGUUAAUCCUUCAGACUAUGAAAACAAGACUGAAAGUAAUUUUAAUGACCUUCAAUAUAGCCAUGCUCAAAUGUUAUGCCCAACUGCAAAAAACCCUCAGCCAGAAAGUAUGCCUUUUGAGGCUCAUAACUUGGACAGUGGUUUGCACAAUCGGACUGAUGCAAAUGGAAACCACUCUGAGCUAAGGAGCGAAUGGAUACCUGUAAAACAACAGAGUUUCUCUUCUGACCAUUACAGCAUUAGUACAGGACCAAGGAAGUCCUCCAUCAGUACAAGUCAGUUUCAUUUUGACCUUGAUUUAGAAGAUGAAGAUAGUGAAAAUGUCUUCUACUGUAAAGGGAGUCUAGAAAGGCAGUCCAAGAAGAACAUAGCAGAUAUUGGUCAGAUCUCUGUAAGCAGGCAGCUUUCUGAGGAUGACUAUAUCAGGAAGCUGUCCCAGUCCAGGAGUUGUAAUAGCACUCACCAUGAGGGCCAAUUAUACUCUUCAUCUUCCUCUGACUUUAGUCUCAAGGGUGGGCGCUCUUUUUCUGUGAGUAGUGUUCAUGCAAGCCGCCCUUCAGGAUCUGCUCGCAUGGCCAUUAUUCCCAGAAUGACUAGUGUUGACAACCUUGCAGAUGUGUGCAUCCUUGGAGAUACAUUGGGACAACGAUCCAGAGUGCUGUCCUGCAGCCUAGACCAAACGGCUUCCAGGAAUUGCAGCUGGGACUUGGUAACCACAGACCACUUUUGGUCUCGUCAGAGCCUCAAGAGUUUUUGCUCCCUUCAAGAUGAGGAACUGUCACCCCCACCUUCUCCGUUUUACUCACCUCGACCAGUUUCCAGGCCACCCAGCUUCUCACCUGUAGGCAGCUUGAUGUCACAGGACAGCCUGUCCCCUCGGGGUCGCUUGCCUUCUAAAGGCUACAAAUCUAGCCUUUCAGCCUUUGAAGAGUCUGACUCAGAUACUACUACAGAUGACGAGUACUACCUGGGCACUGACAAAGGUGAGAGAGAAACAGAACUGUAG